rnacentral:rRNA from 1 species
UACGGGGGGGGCAAGCGUUGUUCGGAAUUACUGGGCGUAAAGGGCUCGUAGGCGGCCAACUAAGUCAGACGUGAAAUCCCUCGGCUUAACCGGGGAACUGCAUCUGAUACUGGAUGGCUUGAGUUUGGGAGAGGGAUGCGGAAUUCCAGGUGUAGCGGUGAAAUGCGCAGAUAUCAGGAGGAACACCGGUGGCGAAGGCGGGUCUCUGGGCCGAUACUGACGCUGAGGAGCGAAAGCGUGGGGAGCGAACAGG